rnacentral:rRNA from 1 species
AUGAUAAACUUUUAAAAGCUUUCUUUAAUUGAAUAAUUGAAUUUAAUUUUUUAGUGCAAAAGCAAAAUUAAAAAUUAGGGACAAGAUGACCCUAUGAAUUUUUUAUUAAAUUUUAUAAAACUUUAUAUAAAAUUUAAUUUAAUGGGGGUGAGGGAAAAAGAAUAAAUAUCUUUUUUUUUUAAAAAAAAUUGGUUCCGUUUUUACCGAUUAAAUGAAAAAAAUACUUUAGGGAUAACAGCGUAAUAAUUUUGGAUAGUUCAUAUAAAUAAAAUAGUUUGGGACCUCGAUGUUGGUUUAGGAUUUUUUUUUGGUGAAAAAGUUAAAAAAAAAAGUUUG